AUCAAUUAAGGGCAAACUGUCCGAAAGGACAGGACGCCCGCCUGCCAUAGAUAAUUAUGGUAGUCGGGCCUCUCGCCGGUUGAACCGGCGGGCAGGCAAAGCUACGAGUCCAUCAUAUAACAUUGGCGGAUAGUCGGGUUGCCGUA
rnacentral:ncRNA from 1 species